rnacentral:pre_miRNA from 1 species
CAUGUACUCCCUCCGUUCGGAAUUACUUGUCUCGGAAAUGGAUGUAUCUAGAACUAAAAUACAUCUAGAUACAUCCAUUUCUGUGACAAGUAAUUCCGAACGGAGGGAGUAUAUG